CACCAUGAGCCUUGUCCCAACAUCCCAACUUUCUAAGGCAUUUUCCAAAAUGAGAGAAGAUUCUGCACUAUAGAAAUUUGGAUGUUGGGCCACUGAGAGUUUCACAACUUGUGUCCCCAAAGUAUAGUGCCAGCCACCGUUCUUCUAUGGGGAUUCGAGUUUCAUCAACUUUAUCACUGGGGUUGCUGGAGAAAAGGUCAUAGAUGUGAUAGAUGCCCUGAAGCCAGGAACAGCUGUGUCUAGUAGCAUCAAACAUGAAUGGGACUCUGGGUCAGUCUCAUAUUCUUUUCUCGUAGGGACCAGCGUUUCUCUUUCACCAAAGCGAAAUGCUUAGGGAAGCGUUACCCUGCCAUAUGUCAGCCUUGAUGGAUGAGCCAGUGCUACGAUGGAUUUACCAAUCCCAUGACAUGUCUUACCCUGCUGGAGGUUCAAGCCAAGACGUAGAAAGAGGACAUUACCUGGGACAGGAAUUAAUGCCUAUCACUGGGGAUGCCUGCAGCACCAUUGUCACCAUUGGCUGCAGUUCACUGAGUGCUUCCUCCCUGCCAGGCACCUUGCACACCUUAUUUUCAGUCUCCGCAGCUGCCUUGUUGAGGUUGGCUCUCUAUUCUUCUGUUUCACAGUUGAGGAAACUGAGGUUAAGAGAUGUGAAUGAAUUUUCUCAAAGUAACAUUAGGUAUUAGUAAGAUUUCAUUUAUCCAUUCACUGUUAAAUAUUAUUAAGUAACUACAGUGCUUUAAGAACUCCAUGUAAAUGGUGGAUUUGAGGCAAAACUUUAAAGGCUGAAUUAAAUAAGGAGCUAACAUUGCAAAAAGCUGAGAAACUUAUGUUCUCGGUGGAGCAAAUAGGUUGUGUCUUUUCGGUUACAAGUAAUAAAAUCCAGAGGCUACCUCAAGGGAAAAAUAAAGCACUAGAUGGUCUACCAAAGACAGAGAGGCAGGUGGAUUUUGGGAAGGGGUAGGAAUGAACAGCUAGAAAAAUGUGACUUACGUUUUCUCUCUUAUCUGCCCCUUAGCUUCAUAGCUUUCUUGUUCUCAUGUAUAGAGUGAUCAAAGAUGACCACCACCAACUUUAAUAUCAAAGAUUAAAACACAAAAAAAGAAACACACAGUGGCUCAUGCCUGUAAUCCCAGCACCUUGAGAGGGUGAGGCAGGAGGAUCACUUGAGCCCAGGAGUUUAGGACCAGCCUGGGCAACAUAGCAAGAUCCUGUCACGAUAAAUAAUAACAAGAUUAGGUGGACAUUGUGGUUUGUACCUAUGGUCCCAGCUCUUCAGGGGGAUAAGGCAGGAAGAUCCCUUGAGCUCAGAAGUUUGAGGCUGCCAUGAGCUGUGAUUACGUCGCUGCACUCCACAGCUUGUGUGACAGAACAAGACCCUGUCCAAAAAAAAAAAAAAAAAGACAUCUAAAUAGAUAAAUAGAGCAACUCUCCCUUUCAGAAUCCUGGGCACAAAAUUUCUAUUGGCUUACCUUCUGUCAAGUGUUUAAUCCUAGUCACAUAUCUAAGGCUGUGGGUGGAUGGGGUCAUAUGAUAAAAUAUGGCCUGGAUUGAUCACUGUGGGUGAAGGACUCAGUUAAGGUGGCAUUAGAAGGUGGAGAGAUAGCUUGAAAGAUGUACCUCAUCCAGUUACAGAGCUAAAAUCCAGACCUGAGUGUGUCUAAGUCAAAACACUACGGUUGACUACCAACUUCACAUCUUCUAUCAUUUCAGAGUAGCACAACACUGGUCAAGAAAGCCCCACAUGUUGGUCAUUUGUGCCUCCCAUAUGGUCAAUGUUACAUUGCGAGGAAGCAUGCUGACCACGACAGUAUGCUCUACACCUGUGUGGCUACCGUGUUUUGGUUGCCUCCAUAUAGUGCAGUGGUUAAGAGUCCGGGUUCUGGCGCUGGAACACUGGAAUUUUAGCCGCAGCUCUGCCACUGUGUGCCCUUGAGAAAGCUAACGGCCUUCAUUACAUGGGUUGGUCUUCUCCUCCAUAACAGGCAGAUAAUAUUAGUUUCUAGCUCAAGAGGUUAUUGCCAAGAUCAAAUGAAUGAGUACAGAUUAAGACUUAUUGAACAACAGCCAAUAAAGGCAAGUUAUUUUGAGAUACCCAGACUGGACACCAUGGGAAACAAUGAUGAAAGACUCUCCCACACACAGACAUGGUGUGAUAAGUCAGGGGUUGCAAUAUUCUGGAAGCUCAGUCAGCAUAAUGAAAUGAUAGGUCCAAGCAUGAUGGACACAGUUCCUUUGGAAUCAUGUUCCAAUUACCAUAUGGGACCAUGGUCCCAGAUGCUGACCAAAUCUGCUGGCCCAGCUUGGCUUCAUUAGUCCCCGAAGAUCACCCAGACAGAUCAAAGAAAACCCAUCCUCGACCAGCCAGAGAUUGCUCAACAAACCAAUGACUGGCCCACCAGGGACUGGAAUUCCAAUUUGCUGGCUAGGUCUGGAGAAGGAGGAGGAGGUGGAACUGUGUCCUUCUUUCCAGUAUGGACUGAGGGCCAACCAUGUGUCAAGGCUUGGAGGAGGUACCGAGGUUGCAGAAAGAAAGGCCCAGUCACGGAAUUCAGAGAACUCAGAGUUCAGUGGGGAAGACAUAGGCAUCCAUAAUUAUAUGGGACAAUUCAUGUUUUUCAUUGCUCUGGUAAGAAUUUAAUGGGAUUAUAAAAAUGACAAUAAAAACAAGAACAAUAAAGUGAGGUUAAAAGAAAUGCAAAAAUAAAAUAUGUAAUUUCAUGAAGAAGUUAAAACAAGGGCAAAAUGAGAGAAGAGGGGAUAAAAUGUAGCUGGAGUUAAAUUAGUGGCUGAAGUCAAGAGACUGACUUUGGAGCCUGGGGUCUGCCUCUUCUGAGAGAGCACAGUGAGCUUGACAAAAACAGUCUACCUUCAGCAUCUCUGCUUCCUCUUUAACAUGUGAUAACAAAAUCAUAUGCGGAUUUUGUGAUGAAUGAAUGACAGCAGCUCUAUACGGCACCUUACACAAUGUAGGGCCGAUUAGAGGUGGGGAUGAGGUUUCAAUUAUGGGCUAAUGGUGCAAAGCUUGAGAUCAUGAUGCUUUGCCAUUCACCUCUUCUCCCUUAAAGGGUCCUAACAGAGGGAGCUCUUCACAUAAGGAUUACCCGCCAAGCAGGAAGCAGGCCACUGCUUUAUUAAUAACUGAUACAAAUGAAUAACCUAGCCAACAUUCAAUGGCACCAAACACUGAGCUUUCUACCAGAGCUAGGUUUGGGAUAUAAAUGAGGGCUUGGUUUGGGAUAUAAAUGAGGGUUCCUGCUGCUAUACCCUCAUGGCAAGUUCCUAGCCAGACUAGCUUCCUCAUUUCAGAGAAGGAAGAAUCAGAACAGAAAACACGAAAAAGCACAUAUACACCAUUUGAGUUAGACAUAUAGUCCCUGAGAAUAAAGACUACGGCCUCCCUUGUCACUAGAUUUGGCCAUAUGGCUAAGCUUUGGCCAGUACAUUAUAAGAUCUUUCCUAAAAAGACAGCUAGCUCAGACCCUUGUUUAUUUAUUUGUUUGUUUUCAUUUGUUGUUUCUUUCUCCUUCCUGCUGGUUGGAAGGUGACUAGCAUGGUGACAGUCCUGGCAGUCAACUUGGAUUACAUGAACCUGGGCCACAUCCUAAGGAAGGCAGGGCCAAAAUCUGGAAGGAACCUUGGCCUCUGGGGACUUGACCUGCAGAAGUCUCCCAUUAGCUCUAGAUUUCUUCCCUUCAGAUUUAUACAUGAGAGAGCAGGACACUUCUACUGUGGGUACACUGCUGUCAGUUUGAGACUCUGUUAGAACUAAACUUAGUUCUAAUGAUACAAGAAACUUGGGGCUGAAAAAAUAUAAAUAUCAGUAUCUAGAAUCAUAAUUCAAAGUCUUGGGUUUUAAAAAAAAUACAUAAUUGGAUAAGACAUGUUCCAAAAAAGUUCUCUGCUUGUUAUUCUCUCAAACUAAAAAGAGUCUUUGAGCCUCCACUGGAUUUCAGGUACCAGCAGAGGAUGUUACAAAAAUCCAAGGAUGAGUGACAUGCACAAGGGUUUGUUUUAUGCAUCACUGGGGCUUUUGUUUCAUGUUGAAAACAGCAUAUGAGGUAGGUUUGAGUAUGGGGAGAAUUUGAGAGGGAGAGAGAGGAGGGAAGGAGAAAGGGAGAGGAGGUAGGGUGGAAAUGUUUCUAGGAGAAUUAAAAGUGGGACUAAGACAGGCAUAGUGGCACACACCUGUAGUCCCAGCUACUCUGGAGGCUCAGGCGGGAGGAGGGCUUGAGGCCAGGAGUUUGAGUCCAGCCUGGUCAACAUAAAGAGACCCCAUCUCUAAAAAAAAAAAAAAAAAAUGGUAGAACCAAAGGACAUGAGAGGAAAAGCCCUUUUCCCAAUUUCAAUAUUUAGCCAUGGUCUUUGUUUAAUAAGAGAGUCUCUUUAAUUGCUUAAUCAUGAUGACUUGAUUCUAAUUCCUGUUAUCUGUGUGACCUGACACAGGCUGUGAUACACUGUCACUUCCCAGUAGAUGAUGGAUGCUGCAGUUGUUGUUAGAUACUCAGACCAAUGCAAGCGGAGAGCAGGGCCCACCGGUAGCACCUUUUGUUCUAUGUAUGUUUUCGUUUCUCAUUUGAGGCACUGGGUAUUCAUCUCAGUAUAACCCAACACUAGCUCCUACCCUG
rnacentral:lncRNA from 1 species